GUAAUGCUUGGGAACUUGCCUUUGCGAGGGGGAUAACAGUUGGAAACGACUGCUAAUACCGCAUAAUGUCUACGGACCAAACGGGGCUUAGGCUUCGGCGCAGAGAGAGGCCCAAGUGAGAUUAGCUAGUUGGUGGGGUAAAGGCUCACCAAGGCGACGAUCUCUAGCUGUUCUGAGAGGAAGAUCAGCCACACUGGGACUGAGACACGGCCCAGACUCCUACGGGAGGCAGCAGUGGGGAAUAUUGCACAAUGGGGGGAACCCUGAUGCAGCCAUGCCGCGUGUGUGAAGAAGGCCUUCGGGUUGUAAAGCACUUUCAGUUGUGAGGAAAAGUGAGUAGUUAAUACCUGCUCACCGUGACGUUAACAACAGAAGAAGCACCGGCUAACUCCGUGCCAGCAGCCGCGGUAAUACGGAGGGUGCGAGCGUUAAUCGGAAUUACUGGGCGUAAAGCGCACGCAGGCGGUUUGUUAAGCUAGAUGUGAAAGCCCCGAGCUCAACUUGGGAUGGUCAUUUAGAACUGGCAGACUAGAGUCUUGGAGAGGGGAGUGGAAUUCCAGGUGUAGCGGUGAAAUGCGUAGAUAUCUGGAGGAACAUCAGUGGCGAAGGCGACUCCCUGGCCAAAGACUGACGCUCAUGUGCGAAAGUGUGGGUAGCGAACAGGAUUAGAUACCCUGGUAGUCCACACCGUAAACGCUGUCUACUAGCUGUUUGUGGCUUUAAGCCGUGAGUAGCGAAGCUAACGCGAUAAGUAGACCGCCUGGGGAGUACGGCCGCAAGGUUAAAACUCAAAUGAAUUGACGGGGGCCCGCACAAGCGGUGGAGCAUGUGG
rnacentral:rRNA from 1 species